rnacentral:tRNA from 1 species
GAGGGUAUAGCUCAAGUGGUAGAUUGCAUGCUUGGCAAGCAUGAGGUCCAAGAUUCAAUCCCCAGUACCUCCA